rnacentral:rRNA from 1 species
UACGAAGGGGGCUAGCGUUGCUCGGAAUCACUGGGCGUAAAGGGUGCGUAGGCGGGUUUUUAAGUCAGGGGUGAAAUCCUGGAGCUCAACUCCAGAACUGCCUUUGAUACUGAAGAUCUUGAGUUCGGGAGAGGUGAGUGGAACUGCGAGUGUAGAGGUGAAAUUCGUAGAUAUUCGCAAGAACACCAGUGGCGAAGGCGGCUCACUGGCCCGAUACUGACGCUGAGGCACGAAAGCGUGGGGAGCAAACGGGG